rnacentral:rRNA from 1 species
AUUGAACGCUGGCGGCAGGCCUAACACAUGCAAGUCGAGCGAGCGGCGGACGGGUGAGUAAUGUCUGGGAAACUGCCUGAUGGAGGUGGAUAACUCCUGGAAACGGUAGCUAAUACCCCAUAUGAUCAGAGGUGCCCAGAUGGGAUUUGCUAGUAGGUGGGGUACCGGCUCACCUAGGCGCCCAUCCCUAGCUGGUCUGAGAGGAUGACCAGCCACACUGUAACUGAGACACGGUCCUGACUCCUACGGGAGGAAGCAGUGGGGAAUAUUGCACAAUGGGCGCAAGCCUGAUGCAGCCAUGCCGCGUGUGUGAAGAAGGCCUUCGGGUUGUAAAGCACUUUCAGCGGGGAGGCGUUACCCGCAGAAGAAGCACCGGCUAACUCCGUGCCAGCAGCCGCGGUAAUAC